GCUUUGCACAGUGGCAGUAUCAUAACCAAUGAAGUUUAUCUGAGGCAUGAUAAAUGUUAAUUCAAAA
rnacentral:snRNA from 1 species